rnacentral:ncRNA from 1 species
CAAAGCCUGAAUCCUGACCUUGUUAUCAACAAUUAUUCCCCUAACUUAUACAUGCAAGUCUCCGCACACCCGUGAGAACACCCUUAAAAUCUCGAUCAGAUCAAGGAGUUGGCAUCAGGCACAGACCACCUAGCCCACGACGCCUAGUUUUACCACACCCCCAAGGGUUUCAGCAGUAACAAACUUUGUUCAUGAGCGCCAGCUUGAAUCAGUUGAAGAAUGACGACCGAACGAGAAGUGAUACCUCGACAAACCCGGGUCAAAUUAUAUGUGACCACCCCACCAAAGAAGUCUACCGGGCCGGCAAACAUGGUGCCAGCCGCCGCGGUUAAACCAUUAUAUCCCACUUGUGGGAGGGCCCCAGUUGAUAAAAACUCGGCGUAAAGCGUGGCUAAAGAUCCAAUUAGUUAGAGUUGUAUAUCAGCCCGGCAGUGCUAAGCCUGCUUUUUUGAAAGUCGACACGAAAGUUACUCUAAUUUACUUAAACCCACGACAAUUGGGAACCAAACUGGAAUUUGGUACUCCACUAUGCCCAAUCGUAAAGCCUACUUAAGUAACGCCAGGAGAUUACGAAGUUGUACUUAAAAUCCAAAGGACUUGACGGUGCCCUGACCACUAAAGGAGCCUGCUCUAUAACCGACUCUGACCGUUAAACCCGACCAUUUCUUGCUAAUCAGCUUGUAUACUUCCGACUUAGCUGCUCACCGUCUGCAUGAACCAGAGUGGGUACAAUGUUCUACCAUAACAAAACGUCAGGUCAAGGUGCAGCCUAUGAAAUGGCAAAGGGUGGGCUACAAUUUCUAAUAUAGUACAUAAAAAGGUAACCCCUUACGGAAACCUGCAUGAAACCCCAGGCAAGAAGGUGGAUCUAGUAGUAAAAAGAAAUUAGAGAGUUCUUUUAAAUAUCAAAUGUCAGGGCGCGUACAAACCGCCCGUCACUCUCUUCGAUAGCAUCCAAAUGUUACUAACACACCACUGCUACUGAGAAGAGAUAAGUCGUAACACGGUAAGUGUACUGGAAAGUGCGCUUGG